GAGUCGGAGUGCCCUGAAAUGUCUUGAAAUAUUAAUGGGCAAAUUUUGGGGUAUGACAGCUGCCCCUGUUCAAUAUUCUUGAACCGAGAGAGUAGAAUGGUAUGUGCCGCAUUCGUGGUCUGGAGGUGGAAGAUUAUUGAACACUAGAAUGCCCCGAAAAUUUGCGCUUGUCAAUUGGUCUUGAUGGAGAUGGGCUUAAAGAUGCCAUCCAGGAAGUUUG
rnacentral:lncRNA from 1 species